GGGGAUAUAGUUUAAUUGGUAAAACGUCUAUUUUGCACAUCGUUAAUUUGGGUUCGACCCCCACUGUCUCCA
rnacentral:tRNA from 2 species